rnacentral:rRNA from 1 species
AGUUUUGAUUCCUUGGCUUCAGCAUUGAAGUGGACGCGAGGCUUAACACAAUGCGAAGUGGAGCGGUUAACAGAGGUAGCUUGUUAUCUGCUGACGAGCGGCGGACGGGUGAGUAACGCGUACGAAACUGCCUGGUAGUGGGGGACAACAGUUGGAAACGAAUGAUAAUACCGCAUACGCCCUACGGGGGAAAGCAGGGGAUCUUCGGACCUUGCGCUAUCAGAUGUGCCUGCGUUAGAUUAGCUUGUUGGUAGGGUAAUGGCCUACCAAGGCGACGAUCUAUAGCUGGUCUGAGAGGAUGAUCAGCCACAGCCACACUGGAACUGAGAGACGGUCCAGACUCCUACGGGAGGCAGCAGUGGGGAAUAUUGGACAAUGGGCGCAAGCCUGAUCCAGCAAUACCGCGUGUGUGAAGAAGGGUUUCGGCUCGUAAAGCACUUUCAGUAGGGAGGAAAGGUUGUAAGUUAAUACCUUGCAACUGUGACGUUACCUACAGAAGAAGCACCGGCUAACUCCGUGCCAGCAGCCGCGGUAAUACGGAGGGUGCAAGCGUUAAUCGGAAUUACUGGGCGUAAAGCGCGCGUAGGCGGAUGAUUAAGUCUCAUGUGAAAGCCCUGGGCUCAACCUGGGAACUGCAUGGGAUACUGGUCGUCUAGAAUACAGUAGAGGGUAGUGGAAUUUCAGGUGUAGCGGUGAAAUGCGUAGAGAUCUGAAGGAACAUCAGUGGCGAAGGCGACUACCUGGACUGAUAUUGACGCUGAGGUGCGAAAGCGUGGGGAGCAAACGGGAUUAGAUACCCCGGUAGUCCACGCCGUAAACGAUGUCAACUAGUUGUUGGCUUAUAAAUAUGCUUAGUGACGAAGCUAACGCGAUAAGUUGACCGCCUGGGGAGUACGGCCGCAAGGCUAAAACUCAAAUGAAUUGACGGGGGCCCGCACAAGCGGUGGAGCAUGUGGUUUAAUUCGAUGCAACGCGAAGAACCUUACCAGGUCUUACAUCCAGAGAAUCUGGCAGAGGUACGGGAGUGCCUUCGGGAAUCUAGUGACAGGUGCUGCAUGGCUGUCGUCAGCUCGUGUCGUGAGAUGUUGGGUUAAGUCCCGUAACGAGCGCAACCCUUGUCCUUAGUUGCCAUCAUUUAGUUGGGGACUCUAAGGAGACUGCCGGUGACAAACCGGAGGAAGGCGGGGACGACGUCAAGUCAUCAUGGCCCUUACGAGUAGGGCUACACACGUGCUACAAUGGCAUGUACAAAGGGUUGCGAAGCCGCGAGGUGAAGCUAAUCUCACAAAGCCGGUCGUAGUCCGGAUUGGAGUCUGCAACUCGACUCCAUGAAGUCGGAAUCGCUAGUAAUCGUGAAUCAGAAUGUCACGGUGAAUACGUUCCCGGGCCUUGUACACACCGCCCGUCACACCAUGGGAGUGGUUGCUCAAAAGUUACUAGCCUAACCUCCGGGAAACGGUUACCACGGAUGAUUCUGACUGGGGUAAUCUUACAGGUA